GUCUCCGUGGCGCAAUGGAUAGCGCGUCGGACUUCUAAUUCGGAGGCUGUGGGUUCGAGUCCCACCGGAGACG
rnacentral:tRNA from 1 species